AUGCAAAACGGACAACGGGGAAAAUGCUCGGAUGCAAACUUGCAACCGCCGGUGCAAGUCGGCGAUGAAGGGAAAACUGGGCAGCCAAAGACAACUGAUGAACCUUUAGGAGAUUCUUGUUCAUUUUUAGUAGCAGAUGAUGAUAGUAAAAAGGUCUCCCAUGAAGACAUUGAACUAUUAAGAUCCAAAGAUGUCCAGAAUUUAAUAGAACGAUGCCUACAGUUUUAUAUGAAUAGAGGAGAAGUUGUUAGGACUCUUUCUACUCGAGCAAGGAUAGAAACUGGUUUUACUACAUUAGUUAACAAUUUGCCUAUAGGAUAUCCAGUACUUCAGAAACCUGGAAUACCUGCUGCUGGUCAGCCUCAUGUUAAUGCAAUGGCUUGUGGUCCACCAGGCUACCAUAUAGCAAAUGGAAUGCCCUAUCACCCGAUUCGUAUGAGCUCAGCAAAUGGCAUAAUGGACAAUGAAUUACCUGAAGCUGCACAUGCUGCAACAGUCUUUGGUACUGUGUCAUCUGAGAUUGCUAUGAGUUCAUCAUCCGGAAUGUCGAGCAACCAUCUCACUUUCACUCCAUCUGAGUUAUCAGAGAUGGAUGUGGAUGCAGCAGCAGUAGAUACCGCCAUUGGAGCUGAUGUGGCAAAUGGAGGGCCUCUGGAAAUAGGACUAGAUAGCGAUUUCAGCCUUUCUGAUUUAUCUGCAGAUUUGACAAAUUUGGGAGACCUGGCAGCUCUUGAGAACUAUGCAGGCAACCCAUUCAUGCCUUCGGAUUCUGAUAUCUUACUUGAUUCCACGGAGCAUGAUGACAUAGUUGAGUACUUUGUCGACGCGGUUGAUGGACCUUCUCAAUCAGAUGAAGAGAAAUAA
rnacentral:rRNA from 1 species